rnacentral:rRNA from 1 species
UACGAAGGGGAGGCGAGCGUUUGUUCGGAUUUACUGGGCGUAAAGGGCGCGCAGGCGGCUCAUUUUGUCAGGCGUGAAAGCCCCGGGCUUAACCUGGGAACUGCGUUUGAUACGGAUGGGCUAGAGUUCGGGAGAGGAGAGUGGAAUUCCCAGUGUAGAGGUGAAAUUCGUAGAUAUUGGGAAGAACACCGGUGGCGAAGGCGGU